rnacentral:rRNA from 1 species
AGUGAACGCUGGCGGUAGGCCUAACACAUGCAAGUCGAACGGCAGCACAGAGGAGCUUGCUCCUUGGGUGGCGAGUGGCGGACGGGUGAGGAAUACAUCGGAAUCUACUCUGUCGUGGGGGAUAACGUAGGGAAACUUACGCUAGUACCGCAUACGACCUACGGGUGAAAGCAGGGGAUCUUCGGACCUUGCGCGAUUGAAUGAGCCGAUGUCGGAUUAGCUAGUUGGCGGGGUAAAGGCCCACCAAGGCGACGAUCCGUAGCUGGUCUGAGAGGAUGAUCAGCCACACUGGAACUGAGGCACGGUCCAUACUCCUACGGGAGGCAGCAGUGGGGAAUAUUGGACAAUGGGCGCAAGCGUGAUCCAGCCAUACCGCGUGGGUGAAGAAGGCCUUCGGGUUGUAAAGCCCUUUUGUUGGGAAAGAAAUCCAUCUGGUUAAUACCCGGUUGGGAUGACGGUACCCAAAGAAUAAGCACCGGCUAACUUCGUGCCAGCCGCCGCGGUAA